GCCAUCGGAGGCCUAAUACUGCAAGUCGAGGGGCAGCACAGGUAGCAAUACCGGGUGGCGACCGGCAAACGGGUGCGGAACACGUACGCAACCUUCCUUCAAGCGGGGAAUAGCCCAGAGAAAUUUGGAUUAAUACCCCAUAAGAAUGUGGAUUGGCAUCAAUCAGCAUUUAAAGAUUUAUCACUUGAAGAUGGGCGUGCGUCUGAUUAGGUAGUUGGUGAGGUAACGGCUCACCAAGCCGACGAUCAGUAACUGGCGUGAGAGCGCGACCAGUCACACGGGCACUGAGACACGGGCCCGACUCCUACGGGAGGCAGCAGUAAGGAAUAUUGGUCAAUGGACGAAAGUCUGAACCAGCCAUGCCGCGUGGAGGAUGAAGGCCCUCUGGGUUGUAAACUUCUUUUAUUUGGGACGAAACACUUCUUUUCUAAGGAGCUUGACGGUACCAGAUGAAUAAGCACCGGCUAACUCCGUGCCAGCAGCCGCGGUAAUACGGAGGGUGCAAGCGUUAUCCGGAUUCACUGGGUUUAAAGGGUGCGUAGGCGGACAUGUAAGUCCGUGGUGAAAUCUCCGAGCUUAACUCGGAAACUGCCAUGGAUACUAUAUGUCUUGAAUGUUGUGGAGGUUAGCGGAAUAUGUCAUGUAGCGUGAAA
rnacentral:rRNA from 1 species